GUGGGUAGCUCAGUGGCAGAGCGUGUGCUUGGCAGGUGUGAGGUCCUGGGUUCAAUCCCCAGUACCUCCA
rnacentral:tRNA from 1 species